rnacentral:rRNA from 1 species
GACGAACGCUGGCGGCGUGCUUAAUACAUGCAAGUCGAACGGAAAGGCCCUGUUCUUGUGGGGUGCUCGAGUGGCGAAAAGGGGAGUAUAACGUGAGUAAACUGUGCUUGUCUUUGGGAUACCUUCAGGAAACUGGGGUUCAUACCGGACAGGAGCACCUGCUGCAUGGGGGGGGUUGGUGAGAUUCGGCGUUUGGGGAAGGAGUCGCGGUUUAUCAGCUUGUUGGUGGGGUGGUGGCUUACCAACGCAUCGACGGGUAGCCGGCCUGGGAGGGUGACCGGCCACAUUGGGACUGGGAUAGGGCCCGGAGUGCUACGGGAGGCAUCAGUGGGGAAUAUUGCACAAUGGGCGGAAGCCUGAUGCAGCAACGCCGCGUGCGGGAUGACUGCUUUCGGGUUGUAAACCGCUUUCGCCUGUGACGAAGCGUGAGUGACGGUAAUGAGUAAAGAAGCACCGGCUAACUACGUG